GAUGAACGCUGGCGGCGUGCCUAAUACAUGCAAGUCGAGCGAACGGACGAGAAGCUUGCUUCUCUGAUGUUAGCGGCGGACGGGUGAGUAACACGUGGAUAACCUACCUAUAAGACUGGGAUAACUUCGGGAAACCGGAGCUAAUACCGGAUAAUAUUUUGAACCGCAUGGUUCAAAAGUGAAAGACGGUCUUGCUGUCACUUAUAGAUGGAUCCGCGCUGCAUUAGCUAGUUGGUAAGGUAACGGCUUACCAAGGCAACGAUGCAUAGCCGACCUGAGAGGGUGAUCGGCCACCCUGGAACUGAGACACGGUCCAGACUCCUACGGGAGGCAGCAGUAGGGAAUCUUCCGCAAUGGGCGAAAGCCUGACGGAGCGACGCCGCGUGAGUGAUGAAGGUCUUCGGAUCGUAAAACUCUGUUAUUAGGGAAGAACAUCUGUGUAAGUAACUGUGCACAUCUUGACGGUACCUAAUCAGAAAGCCACGGCUAACUACGUG
rnacentral:rRNA from 1 species